GGGGGCGGCAGAUGCCAAUCCACGGCGUCCGGGACGCGCCCGAGAUACAGGGUCUGGGCAGGCGGCUUGGUCUGGGGACCGCAAAGAUGCACCCUGCUAACCCAAGUCUGAUUGCGCGCGCAUGCACCGUCUCACCGCGUCCUUCUGCUCCCUGCACCCUGCCACAGCCACAACCAACGCCUGGAACGCAGCUGCUCCUUAUUUGUUGAGUGGAUGAAUGAAUGAAUGGAAUGAAUGGCGGUGGAGGUCAGAACACAGUUUGGUGUGAAUGACGAGUUCCCGUUGAGAGUAUCUGAAGUUGCCCCUCCUACCUUGCUCUGUGGCCCUGCGCGAAAACAAAACUUUCCUGCCAGGCCCUCUGCUCCAAACUGGUGUCAGGGAAAUCAAGGGCCUCUCCCAUCUUGCGCUGGUGUCCAGGUACACCCUCACUCCUCCACUACGGGGUCCUUCUGUUGGAUCUGUUGGAACAGGAGGGAACCGCAGCCUGGAAAGGUGGGUGUGAACCAUGAACCCAGAUGACCAAGCCAGUGGAUAUGGCACAGGCAGUCCCGAAGGAAGGGUCCAUGUGUGUCCCGAGGUCAGAACUGAGAAGCCCUUCAACUGCCACUGCAUGUUUCUAACUUCCAGAAACCGUCAGGAUGGAUCUAAUUUCUCAUGUGGAAACUGGGGCUCUGAGCAGGUGGCACCACCUACCAUCCACAGUCCUUGAGAAUUCCAGAAAAGAAACAGCAGAACGAUAUUUUCCUGACCUCGUCUAUGAUGUGAGCCAUAAGGAUUUGCCCAACAGUCCAUGCCUGGUCUCUGCUCGGGUCAGUACUGGGGUGUGGCUGCUGUUUCUGGAUGCUCUGAACUUGGAAUGGACAAGAGAAACACAUGCAGGAAAUGGCAACGCAGGAUGUCUGCCUGGAAAAGAUGGAGAGAGACACAGAGAGACAGAGAGAAAAAGACAAAAAGAGAAACAGAGACAGACACCGAGAGACAGAGAAAGGCAAAGAAAGAGAGAGACAAAGACAGAGAGAUUGAGAGGAAAGAGAAAGACAAAAAAAUAAGAUUGAGAGAGAAGAGGAGACAGGGAGAAAGAAAGAGACAAAGAAAAACAGUGCAGAUGGCAGAGUUCUCCCAGGAGAUCAGAGAAGCAAAGUGCAGAGGAAAGGGCAGAAGAAGGUGGUCAGGUGCAUUCCAGGACUAAACUUCACCUCAAUGUCCCUCAGUCCUCAACAGAUGUGGCAGAGCAAAGAGCAAACAGGAGGUGCCAGGGCUAGACCUGCAGGGCAUCUCCUGGUUACCUAGGCACUGCAGCCAAGGGAGGGGAGGGAGGAGCCCAGCCUGGCCCUACCCACUGUAAACAGGCAACUACUCCUUUCUGAAAGGAGGGCAGAGCCAAACACUUCUGCUCCCCUAAACAGGAGCCAAGACUGUGCACGGAUCAAUGAUGCAAUGGGAAGGAGUCUCUCCCGGUCCCUCCCCAUCUCUGUCUAUAUCUCUCUCUCUUUGUCUCUCUCUCUCUCACACACACACACACACACACACACACACACACAUACACCGAGAGAGAGAGAGAGAGAAAUGCCGAUUAUGGACUAAAAUUCGUAUGUUAGAAUGCUAACCCCCAAGGUGGUGAUAUUUGGAGGUGAGACCUUUGGAGGUAAUUAAGUCAUGAGAGCAGAGCCACCAUGAAUGGGCUCAGCAACUUCAUUAAAAAGGCCCGAGUGUGCUCCAUCAUGUGAGAACACCACAAGAAGGUGACCAUCUCCUACCAGGAAGCAGGUCCCCACGAGUCACCCCACAGUGCUGGCACCCUGACCUGGGGCUUGCAGCCUCCAGAACUGUGAGAAAUAAAUUUCUACCAUUUAUAAGCCACAUCAGCUAUUGUAUUCCAUUAUAUGAUCCCGAACUGGCUGAGACAGUGCACCAGCCUUUCCCAGGGAGUUUAACUUAACUGCUUUUCUCCACUUAUUGCCUGGAGCACCCCAUCCCUGGGGCUGGGUUCCGGAUGAGAGACUAGGAACAGGCACAGGUGCUCAAUGCCUCUCCUCCCUGCACACUGGAGGCUGCUACUGGAGGAGCCAUGGCGUCAGUUACUUCUCUACCUAGGAUGAGGGGGUUUCCAGGCAGCCCCAUACAGCUCCACUGUAGGGUAUGCCCCGCAUGUGAGCAGGGGAUGCGGUCUUCUCAUGUAUUCUCCACAGCCCCUAGAGACGCAGAAAGAGCACCAGUUUGUCUAAAACCAGCCACUUUCUAAUGCUGCAGCCCCGAGCAAGUCCCUUCAUUUCUCAGGAACAGUUUCUCCCUUGGCAGGUGGAAUAAGUCAUAAUAGAAGCAACUCAGAUCUGCCGGAGACUGGGAAUUUAUAGGGAUAUUAGCAUAAUAAGAAACAAAUUUGCUCUUGGAAAUAUAAGGUAUGGUAAGAAUUCAAAGUGACCAUGUGAUGAAUGAAUGAGCAUAAUGAAUAAAACAUGAUAUGAUUUUCUAUAACGACUGUAUCAUCCCUCCCCAACCCAUCCCCAGCAAGUCCACGGUACGCAGUUGAGCUAAAAUAAAGCAUGGUACUAAAAUAAAAUCUUCACCCUGGAGGAUUUCCAAUUUCUCCUGUCAUAUUACUGACUUACUAUGAUUGACUAUUGCUUUCUUAUUAUUUCAGGCAGAGUCUCACUCUGUUGCUCAGGCUGGAGUGUAGUGGUGCAAACACAGUUCACUGUAGCAUUCACCUCCUCCUCCAAGCAAUCCUCCUGCCUCAGACUCCCAAGUAGCUGGGAUCACAGGUGUGUGCCAUCAUGCCCAGCUAAUUUUUUUUUUUUUUUUUUUACGACAGGGUCUCACUCUGUCACCCAGGUUGGAGUGCAGUGGUGCAAUCUCGGCUCACUGCAACCUCUGCCUCCCAGGUUCAAACAAUCCUCCCACCUCAGCCUCCCAAGUAGCUGGGACCACAGGCGCACACCACCACGUCUGGCUAAUUUUUUGUAUUUUUGGUAGAAAUGGGGUUUCACCAUGUUGCCCAGGCUGGUCUCGAACUCCUGAGCUCCGGGGAUUCACCUAUCUUGGCCUCCCAAACUGCUUUACAGGCGUGAGCUACUGCACCUGGCCUCAGCUAAUUAUUUUAUGUUUUGUAGAAAUGGGGCCUCACCAUUUUGCCCAGGCUGGUCUCAAACUCCUGGGCUCAAGCAAUCCUCCCAUCACACCCAGCUGACUAUUGCUUUAAAACAAGUGUUCCAUUGGUUAAAACUUGGAAAUUCUUCUAUAUUUUUCUGUUUACAAUACUCAGAGAAUUAAAAUGGGGCAUGAUCAUCAUGAUCAUGGGGCAUGACUUUAGCUUUCCUUUUGGAUCCCGAUGUAAUAAUUCAGUGAUCAAUAAUAGAUAACAUUUUUGAAUAUUUAAUAUGCACAAAGAACUACUAGGUGCUUUACAUGCAUUAUC
rnacentral:lncRNA from 1 species